rnacentral:sRNA from 1 species
GCUGGGUGUAGUGGUGCAGGCCUGUAAUCCCAGUGGCUCAGGAGGCUGAGGCAGGAGGAUCACGAGUUCAAAGCCAGCCUCAGCAAAAGCGAGGUGCUAAGCAACUCAAUGAGACCCUGUCUCUA